rnacentral:rRNA from 1 species
GAUGAACGCUGGCGGCGUGCCUAAUACAUGCAAGUAGAACGCUGAAGGAGGAGCUUGCUCUUCUGGAUGAGUUGCGAACGGGUGAGUAACGCGUAGGUAACCUGCCUGGUAGCGGGGGAUAACUAUUGGAAACGAUAGCUAAUACCGCAUGACAACAGUUAUUGCAUGAUAACCGUUUAAAAGGGGCAACUGCUCCACUACCAGAUGGACCUGCGUUGUAUUAGCUAGUUGGUGAGGUAACGGCUCACCAAGGCGACGAUACAUAGCCGACCUGAGAGGGUGAUCGGCCACACUGGGACUGAGACACGGCCCAGACUCCUACGGGAGGCAGCAGUAGGGAAUCUUCGGCAAUGGACGGAAGUCUGACCGAGCAACGCCGCGUGAGUGAAGAAGGUUUUCGGAUCGUAAAGCUCUGUUGUAAGAGAAGAACGAGUGUGAGAGUGGAAAGUUCACACUGUGACGGUAUCUUACCAGAAAGGGACGGCUAACUACGUG